CCUACGAUAUCAGUGAUGAUAUCGAUUUCUGUUUCAAGCUGGCAAAAGAGGAAUCUGUGAUCAUUCUUCCUGGAACUGCUGUGGGGCUAAAAGAUUGGCUCCGAAUAACUUUUGCUGCUGAGAAUACUCCCUCGAGGAAGCGUUAGGCAGGGUAAAAUCUUUCUGUGAAAGGCAUGCCAAGCAAUUGGAAGUAUAUUAGAAAGCUCAAGUCAGUCAAUAAGAAUGCUAUUAAUCAACCUAUUCGAAUCCUUGCCAUGGCUAAUUGUUACAAAGACAAUAGUAUUUAUCCAGUGGGUUCAUUUAUGUUGUUAUA